AACGGUGAAUCAGAGCUUGCUCUCUGGAUCAGUGGCGAACGGGUGAGUAACACGUGAGCAAUCUGCCCCUGACUCUGGGAUAACAGUUGGAAACAGCUGCUAAUACUGGAUACGAGACGUGAAGGCAUCUUCAACGUCUGGAAAGAAUUUCGGUCAGGGAUGAGCUCGCGGCCUAUCAGCUUGUUGGUGAGGUAACGGCUCACCAAGGCGUCGACGGGUAGCCGGCCUGAGAGGGUGACCGGCCACACUGGGACUGAGACACGGCCCAGACUCCUACGGGAGGCAGCAGUGGGGAAUAUUGCACAAUGGGCGAAAGCCUGAUGCAGCAACGCCGCGUGAGGGACGACGGCCUUCGGGUUGUAAACCUCUUUUAGCAGGGAAGAAGCGAAAGUGACGGUACCUGCAGAAAAAGCACCGGCUAACUACGUGCCAGCAGCCGCGGUAAUACGUAGGGUGCAAGCGUUAUCCGGAAUUAUUGGGCGUAAAGAGCUCGUAGGCGGUUUGUCGCGUCUGCUGUGAAAACCCGAGGCUCAACCUCGGGCCUGCAGUGGGUACGGGCAGACUAGAGUGCGGUAGGGGAGAUUGGAAUUCCUGGUGUAGCGGUGGAAUGCGCAGAUAUCAGGAGGAACACCGAUGGCGAAGGCAGAUCUCUGGGCCGUAACUGACGCUGAGGAGCGAAAGGGUGGGGAGCAAACAGGCUUAGAUACCCUGGUAGUCCACCCCGUAAACGUUGGGAACUAGUUGUGGGGUCCAUUCCACGGAUUCCGUGACGCAGCUAACGCAUUAAGUUCCCCGCCUGGGGAGUACGGCCGCAAGGCUAAAACUCAAAGGAAUUGACGGGGACCCGCACAAGCGGCGGAGCAUGCGGAUUAAUUCGAUGCAACGCGAAGAACCUUACCAAGGCUUGACAUAUACGAGAACGCUGCAGAAAUGUAGAACUCUUUGGACACUCGUAAACAGGUGGUGCAUGGUUGUCGUCAGCUCGUGUCGUGAGAUGUUGGGUUAAGUCCCGCAACGAGCGCAACCCUCGUUCUAUGUUGCCAGCACGUAAUGGUGGGAACUCAUGGGAUACUGCCGGGGUCAACUCGGAGGAAGGUGGGGAUGACGUCAAAUCAUCAUGCCCCUUAUGUCUUGGGCUUCACGCAUGCUACAAUGGCCGGUACAAAGGGCUGCAAUACCGUAAGGUGGAGCGAAUCCCAAAAAGCCGGUCCCAGUUCGGAUUGAGGUCUGCAACUCGACCUCAUGAAGUCGGAGUCGCUAGUAAUCGCAGAUCAGCAACGCUGCGGUGAAUACGUUCCCGGGUCUUGUACACACCGCCCGUCAAGUCAUGAAAGUUGGUAACACCUGAAGUCCGGUGGCCCAACCC
rnacentral:rRNA from 1 species